rnacentral:rRNA from 1 species
AUUGAACGCUGGCGGCAGGCCUAACACAUGCAAGUCGAGCGGAGCGGCGGACGGGUGAGUAAUGCCUAGGAAUCUGCCUGGUAGUGGGGGAUAACUACUCGAAAGAGUGGCUAAUACCGCAUACUAUUGGAGCGGCCGAUAUCGGAUUAGCUAGUUGGUGGGGUAAAGGCCUACCAAGGCGACGAUCCGUAACUGGUCUGAGAGGAUGAUCAGUCACACUGGAACUGAGACACGGUCCAGACUCCUACGGGAGGCAGCAGUGGGGAAUAUUGGACAAUGGGCGAAAGCCUGAUCCAGCCAUGCCGCGUGUGUGAAGAAGGUCUUCGGAUUGUAAAGCACUUUAAGUUGGGAGGCGUUACCAACAGAAUAAGCACCGGCUAACUUCGUGCCAGCCGCCGCGGUAAUUC